rnacentral:misc_RNA from 1 species
CACUCCUAACUCUGCAAAUGGUGGCAUUAAAUUGCGUUUGGACCAUAGCAAAAUAAUAUUAAAUAUACCUAAUUAGCUUAGUCUAGUUAGUAAGGACGGGAACUCCAUUCCUUAGUUAGUAUGGAUAGGAACUCCAUUCCUUAUCAAUAAGGGUUCGACUCUAUUAAGGAGUAAUCCAAGAUUAUUUAUUCUAAAUGCACCAUAGCAAUGUGG